rnacentral:lncRNA from 1 species
CUCAUGGAUGGAAGGGACUUGCCUUGUCUCAGAUGAGACUUUGGACUGCAGCUUUUGACUUAAUGCUGAAAUGCGCCUUUGGAAAAAACACUGAGAAAGCAUUUCAGGUAUCUGCCAUGGAAAAUACCAUCAAGUGGGACACCCGCAGCGAUCUCUGUACCCACAAAAGUCACACUUGCUAUCCUUGGUGAAUUUUCCUUAAAAACUGUGGAUGAACUUCCAGUGACUGCGUAAAUAAGGUUUGUGGACUUCUGAAUUCAACCAGAGAAUUGUUGCCCUUGCGUAGGAACUCCGAACUCAGAGUGGUUCUGUG